UGGGGAAUUUUCCGCAAUGGGCGCAAGCCUGACGGAGCAAUACCGCGUGAGGGAGGAAGGCUUUUGGGUUGUAAAGCUCUGUUGUUGGGGACGAAGGGCGAAGGGUUAAUAGCCUCUAGCCUGACGGUACCCUUCGAGGAAGCCCCGGCUAACUACGUGCCAGCAGCCGCGGUAAUACGUAGGGGGCGAGCGUUGUCCGGAAUUAUUGGGCGUAAAGAGCGUGUAGGCGGCCCGGUAAGUCCGCCGUGAAAACCUGGGGCUCAACCCUGGGCGUGCGGUGGAUACUGCUGGGCUAGAGGAUGGUAGAGGCGAGUGGAAUUCCCGGUGUAGCGGUGAAAUGCGCAGAGAUCGGGAGGAACACCAGUAGCGAAGGCGGCUCGCUGGGCCAUUCCUGACGCUGAGACGCGAAAGCGUGGGGAGCGAACAGGAUUAGAUACCCCCGUAGUCC
rnacentral:rRNA from 1 species